rnacentral:rRNA from 1 species
ACAGCAGCAGCCGCGGGAAUACAGAGGGUGCAAGCGUUAAUCGGAAUUACUGGGCGUAAAGCGCGCGUAGGUGGUUUGUUAAGUUGGAUGUGAAAGCCCCGGGCUCAACCUGGGAACUGCAUUUGUGACUGUAUAGCUAGAGUACGGCAGAGGGGGAUGGAAUUCCGCGUGUAGCAGUGAAAUGCGUAGAUAUGCGGAGGAACACCGAUGGCGAAGGCAAUCCCCUGGGCCUGUACUGACGCUCAUGCACGAAAGCGUGGGGAGCAAACAGGAUUAGAUACCCAGUAGUCCCUGUCUCUUAUACA